UACGUAGGGUGCAAGCGUUGUCCGGAAUUAUUGGGCGUAAAGAGCUCGUAGGCGGUUUGUUGCGUCGGCUGUGAAAUCCCGAGGCUCAACCUCGGGUCUGCAGUCGAUACGAGCAAACUAGAGUGUUGCAGGGGAGACUGGAAUUCCUGGUGUAGCGGUGAAAUGCGCAGAUAUCAGGAGGAACACCGGUGGCGAAGGCGGCCAACUGGACCAUUACUGACGCUGAGGUGCGAAAGCGUGGGGAGCAAACAGG
rnacentral:rRNA from 1 species